GAUGAACGCUAGCGGCAGGCUUAAUACAUGCAAGUCGUGGGGCAGCAGCUUUAUAGCAAUAUAGAGGCUGGCGACCGGCAAACGGGUGCGGAACACGUACUGAACCUUCCUUUAAGUGGGGCAUAGCCCAGAGGAAUUUGGAUUAAUACCCCCUAACAUAGCGAUCUGGCAUCACAUUGCUAUUCCAGCUUCGGCGCGUGAUGAUGGGUGGGCGGCUGAUUAGAUCGUUGGCGGGGUAACGGCCGACCAAGUCUACGAUCUGUGGCUGGUCUGAGAGGACGACCAGCCACACUGUGACUGAGACACGGCCCUGACGCCUACGGGAUGCAGCAGUGUGGAAUUUUGGACAAUGGUCUAAAUCCUGAUCCAGCCAUGCCGCGUGCAGGAUGAAGGCCUUCGUGUUGUAAACUGCUUUUGUGCGGAACGAAAAGACUCCUUCUAAUAAAGGUGGUCCAUGACGGUACCGUAAGAAUAAGCACCGGCUAACUACGUGCCAGCCGCCGCAGUAACAC
rnacentral:rRNA from 1 species